CACGUAGUUAGCCGUGGCUUCCUCGUCAGGUACCGUCUUAGUAGACGCAUUUCCUCGUCUACUCUUUCGUCCCCGACAACAGAGCUUUACGAUCCGAAGACCUUCUUCACUCACGCGGCGUUGCUCCGUCAGGCUUUCGCCCAUUGCGGAAGAUUCCCCACUGCUGCCUCCCGUAGGAGUAUGGGCCGUGUCUCAGUCCCAUUGUGGCCGUUCAUCCUCUCAGACCGGCUACUGAUCGUCGCUUUGGUGAGCCGUUACCUCACCAACUGGCUAAUCAGACGCAGGCCCAUCCUCAGGCGAUGGUUUGACCCAUCUUUAGUAUCUCUUCCAUGUAGAAAAAGUUCCUCAUUCGGUAUUAGCGGCUCUUUCGAGCCGUUGUCCCCAUCCUGAGGGCAGGUUGCCUACGCGUUACUCACCCGUUUGCCACUAAGCUAUCUACCGAAAUAAAUAGCUCCGUUCGACUUGCUAUGUAGUUAAGCACGCCGCAGCGUUCGUCCUGACGUCAGGUAAC
rnacentral:rRNA from 1 species